rnacentral:misc_RNA from 1 species
GAUGAAGAACGUAGCGAAAUGCGAUAAGUAAUGUGAAUUGCAGAAUUCAGUGAAUCAUCGAAUCUUUGAACGCACAUUGCGCCCGCCAGUAUUCUGGCGGGCAUGCCUGUUCGAGCGUCAUUUCAACCAUCAAGCCCCAGGCUUGUGUUGGGGACCUGCGGCUGCCGCAGGCCCUGAAAACCAGUGGCGGGCUCGCUGUCACACCGGGCGUAGUAGAUUUUAUCUCGCUCAGGGCGUGCUGCGGGUCCCGGCCGUUAAAAGCCUUUUUUUACCCAAGGUUGACCUCGGAUCAGGUAGGAAGACCCGCUGAACUUAAGCAUAUCAAUAAGCGGAGGA